rnacentral:lncRNA from 10 species
GAGGGGCUGGAAGAUGGCGGCGGACGCACACCCACCCGACCGCGACAGAGCUUAGGCCCCUAGCCCGCGCCGCCGCCCGCUGCUCGCAGCCACUGUGGGCAGCCCUGCUCUGUCCCGCGUUGCUGGUAGAGCCGCCCCGCGGAGGCGUGGGACCAGGGUGGCGUCCGCAUCCCCUGCCAGCGCGCCUUCGCCCGGGUCCGUCCAGGGAGCACCUGUGCACGGCCAUAUUGGAUUCUGUGCCCCAGUCACUGCCUCAGCGCGGCGGGAAAGGAGAGGAGUUCAACAAUUUUUAUGAAUUUCUAAUCCAACCUCAUCAUCCUAUGGGAAACAGAAGACCACCAAGAACAGCCAGCUGGUAUCUUGGCAGUAACCUCCUCCAUAUAUUUCCUUGGCCCUCAGCUUACAUCUAGCAAAAUGACUCUACUGGUUCCAGGCUUCACAUGCAUACAACAUGGUGUUGGAGGAACAGAGAUGUUUUCUCUUCCUGGUGUUUUCCCAGACAUUUCUUAGCUGGCAUUUCAAACAAGGGUCCUGAAAUUCACCCUGGUUGGGUCGUGUUCUCCCCUUCCCAUUCCCCAUCCCCACCCUCAACCGAAAAAUGAUGUAAGCAGGGGAAAUUGAAUGUACCAAUGUUUGUUUUUAAACAAGCCACAGACCCCUCCCCAACUCCCCGACUGAAGCUUGAAGUGGGAUCAGCUUUCCCUAAAGUACUUGAGCUUAUGGUAAAGCAUAUAUGUUAUCCAAGUUAAAGUCUGGACGCUGUUAGUAAUGGGAAGGCAAGUAAUGAAUGUUAGCUAUGGAGCCAACAGACAGUGUCCACUCCAUUGUCUUUAAGGCCCAACUAAAGAUAACCUCUUUACCAAUGUCGGUUUAUUUAUUCAUUUAUUUAUUCAUUGAGAUGGAGUCUCACUCUCUCACCCAAGCUGGAGUGCAGUGGAAUGAUCUCAGCUGACUGCAAUUUCUGCCUCCCAGGUUCAAGCAAUCUCCUGCUUCAGCCUCCCAAGUAGCUGGGAUUACAGGCGCACACCACCAUGCCCGGCUAAUUUUUGUAUUUUUAGUAGAGAUAGGGUUUCACCAUGUUGGCCAAGCUGGUCUCGGACACCUGACCUCAAGUGAUCUGCCUGCCUCGGCCCCCAAAGGUGUGAGCCACUGCACCUGGCUACAAUGUCAGUUUCUAUAAAAACUGCCUUGACUUGUUUUGUUUGCUUGUUUUGUUUGUUUGUGUUUUAAUUUUUAUUAUUUUUUUUUAGAGACAGGGUCUCAAUCUGUUGUCUAGGCUUGAGUGCAGUGGUGCAAUCAUAGCUCACUGAAGUGUUGGACUCCCAGGCUCAAGCAGUCCUCCCACCUCAGCCUCCCAAGUAGCUGAGACUACAGGCAUGCACCACCCUGUCUGGCUAAUUUUUUAUUUUUAGUAGAGAUGAGGUCUCACUAUGUUGCCCAAGGUGGCCUCAAACUCCUGGCCUCAAGUACUCCUGUGGCCUUAGCCUCCCAAAGCUCUGGGAUUGCAGGUAUGAGCCGCCAUGCCUGGCCUACUGUAUAUUUUAUGCAUUUGAUAUAAGUCUUGCCUCCCUAAGUAUAUUACAAGUCCCUUGAAGUUAAAGACAUUAGAUUCCUACUCAGUGCUGAGCUGCAACAGAGAGCACUCAAUGAUGGAUAAAAUAGUUUUAGCAUGCAUUCAGCGAUAUAUAUUUAGAAAGUGGAACUAGGUGGUUGAAAAAAGUGUAUAGAUGGGUGGAAGGGAAUAUUACAGCUCUUAGAAUUGUCCUAAGGUGAGAGUAACAAAUUAAGCAAUGAGUCCCUGGGUUCACUCAAGCAACUUCACUCUCUAAAACAAGAGCCCACAGAAUCCCAUUUCUGCUUUCAGAAUGAGUUUGAGGCCAAUAUUAUUUCCAUUUUUUUUCUUUUUCUUUCUUUCUUUUUUUUUUUUUUUUUUUUGAGACGGAGUUUCACUCUUGUUGCCCAGGCUGUUUUGAUCUCGGCUCACUGCAACCUCUGCCCCUGGGUUCAAGCGAUUCUCCUGUCUCAACCUCCCAAGCUGGGAUUACAAGCAUGCGCUACCACACCUGGCUAAUUUUGUAUUUUUAAUAGAGACGGGGUUUCUCUGUGUUGGUCAGGCUGGUCUCAAACUCCCAACCUCAGGUGAUCUGCCCACCUUGGCCCAGCCUCCAAUAUGAUUUUCUAAUAGCUGUGUUUGAUGAUUAUAUUUAUUCCUCCAUCAGUAGCUUUUUUAGCCUUGAAAAUAUCUAUUUAAGUUUCUUAUUUCCUUUGGAUCUAUCAAAGUGUUUUUCCCCAAGUGGCACCUGGGAAAACAUAUUCUAUUCAUUUAUUUUAUAACUGUUCCCUUGACCUCUUUAUUGCUUCCCUAUUACAACCCAAGAUGCUCUUGUAAACCUGACUUAAUAUUGGCAGUCUUCAUCCCUUGCAAAUGGAAGUGAUGACAGACCCAAUACUUUGUGUAAAAAUAUUUUGCUAUUUCUAUACAAAAUAUUUUAUUAAUGGAAACCACAUGUUAUGUAUUUUACAUAUGUUAUGACUUGAAAUUUAUGUUAUGACUUGAAAUUGGGGAAUCUGAUAUGUCUCUAAUAAUAAAGGCUUCACAGUACAACUGUUGUUUGUAGAUUUACAGAUGGCUGGCAUUUUAAUUUUUUAAUUUAAAUUUUUAAUUCAAAUAUGAUUGACCUGAAAUAUUAACAAAAAUUAUCCUUGAAUUGUUGCACUGCAAAAUAAGAAAGCAAAAUCAGCUAUCUAUGAUGCAACAUUUUAUUUAUAAAUUAAGAUUGUUAGCACUCAUCUAUUGAUUUUUCUCUCUAUUAAACAUACUCCUAAUAAUAAAGGGAAGGAAGGAUCUUUGUAAAGUUAAAUUUACCGUAGCAAAGAAUAGAGGUGAUAAUUAAUAACAUGUUAAAACUCCUU